rnacentral:lncRNA from 1 species
AUGUAGAAAAUGUGUGAAAAUCCAUCUCAAAAAGCCUUGAAAUAAUGAGAAUAUAUUACUUGAUAUGAAUUUAUAGGUCAUUUACUUAGGUUUCUACAUCAAUUUAUUGAUCCUUAGACUCUAAGUUUGAGAAAAAGUUUAAGACGGGUUAUUUAGAUGACACUUAUCUUCCUCUUGUUUUAUUCAUCUUAUAUGGAAAUACAUUACUUUUGCCUGUCACUUUUGUUAAUUAGCUUUAUCAAUAGGCAUAAACUGUAUAGCAAGCUGAAAUAACUGGAUCUUAUGUGGUAUCUUUUAGCUACAUCAUUUAAGGCAGUUGAUAUUUCUAUAAACAACAUUUUUAUGCACUUUCAUGUUUGUGGUUAACCUGUUAAAGCUAUUCUUCCCUUUUGUAUUUCUCUAUGUCAUUAUGAGGCAGUGUCUAAAGAAAAGAUACAUUUGACUGAUAAAUCCAAGGUUAUCCAACAUUAAGAAAAAAACAUAUAUAUACCCCAAAGGUUCAAUCUAAUGAUAUCAGGAUCUAGGAAUGAGGAGGCCUGGUCCCAUAAACCCCUUGAAAACAAUACAUUUGAUGAGGAACUUUUAAUAACUCUCAUCCUUAGCAAUCAUUUGUAUGAAGAGUUCAGUGAGUCAUAGCUGACCAGGGAAAUAUCUCACAACAAUGCAGUCUGAUAGCCAAGCACCCUGCUUUCAUUCCUUGUAAAGUAAAAAACACUUGUCUAAACACUCUCAAUGUAACACCAUUAUUCUCUUUUUUUCUUUUUGAAUGGUAAAUGACAGUAUCAAAAAAUCAUGGAAUUAAAAUAGCAGCUCCUUUCUUUUUCGUGCAUUUUUAUCUAAAUGAAAUCUGCCAUACUUCAGGGCCUAUGUUCAGUGUGAUACUUUUGUGGAGGCUCAGUCUAUAGCCAAAACUGUGUGUGUUGAUACUAAGAUUCUGAAAACCUUCAUUUUUUUAUCUUUCAAUUCUAUUCAUUAUACUGAGACAUUUAUUUUCCAGAAGCAAAAAGGAUGGAUGUUAAAGUUUUUUUUCUGAUUUGUACUUUUGAUUCACGAUCUGAUUUUUCAUAAAGAAGCCUCGACAGGGUUUGUUUUCCUAUUGAAGAUCUCACAUUCAAGUCUUCACUGUCAAGAGCAAGCAGGGGAUAGAAUGUACCAAGUAACUUAGCAACCAUCCAAAUUCCAUCCACAUUCCAGGCCUGUGCUCCAGUUCUAUGGGAAACACCAUUCAAUCCAGAAAUAGACAAGAAAGAGGGUUGAAACCUUCAUGACAAUGCUAGAGAAUUAACAGUGAGAGAUGCAUUAAGCAACAACACAGUUUUGCCUUUUACAAGCUCCCUGAGGUUUUUAUUUCAGUCAGAGGACCAAGAUUUCAGUUCAAGUCACUGGAAGAAAAGAGCUGUCAUUUAUGGUAAGAGAACAAAUUUAAGGAGCAGAGGGAAUUAAAAGUUCAGUUCUGACAUGUUAAGUUCCAAACACCUUAAUGGGUGUUUUCUCCAAAAGAGGAUUAUAGUCAGCAAGUAAUUUUCAGGUGAGAAGGUGAGAGGGGUGAAGGAGAGGUAAAAUGCUUGAGCCCCAAGGCAUGCCAGCCUUUAGACACCUAAAGAUGAGCAUGAAUGAGCUAAGGAGACUGAAAAACAGGUCAGUGAUAGGGAUAUGCUAAAAGUUCAAGAAAUUAAGUGUUAAAAAAGAAGAGUGAUCAACUGAACAAGUACCGAAAUAGGUAGGCAAGAUGACAACGAUAUUGAUUCUGGUAACAGAAAAGUCUUUGGGACAUUAACAAGAGGCCUUCAGAGCAGUGCACGGGACAAAAGUCUGAUGGGAGGGCCUUCUAGGGUGACUGGAAAGGCAGGGAGAUCCCUUUUGUUACUUCCGGUGUGUAGCAGGAAAAGUAAUUAACAUAUGGAGAAUUCACAAUCUUGCACUGCCUUUAACUUUGUGAUUUUCGAUGAACAUUUACAAUUAAAAAGUUAAGCUAUAUGAUCUUUACCCUUCAUUUGAACAUUUUCUAGUCUAUAAUCCCUCCUUAAAUAAUGCUUUCCCAAAUUUGACUUUAGUUUCUUAACUGUUUUUUAGAUUUAAAUAUGCCUGCUUUCUCUGCGUUCUGUUCUCUAUCUCUCUCUCUUCCCCCCACCGUGUGUGUGUGUGUCUGUGUGUGUCCGUGUGUGUGUUGCUGAGUCUCCCUUUAAGUCAGGUAGAAGAGGAAAACUACCAUAUUACCAUUAAUAAGUCCAUUAUAAAUUAUGAGCUAAUAUUAUUUAAAACAUAGAUGAAAAUAAAAAAUUCAAAACUUUUGAAAUGGGAAACAAUCAUGAAAUUUCUGUCCAGGCUAUUUUCUAUGACAUUAUAAAACUAAAUAGCCCCUCCUGAAUUUAACAUUACUAUUUUGUCUUAGGCUUUUUAAAAAAUACAGAUAUGUAGGCAAAUAAUUCUUCUACUCAAACAUAUCCCUACUUUAUAAGGUGGCUUUCGUGCCACUUACUGAGUAAUUUUAUAUUCGUGAAGUGCUUUGAGCUACGCAGGAAAUCUGUGAAAAAUGAAUAAAGAACCAGCUAUGUCUUCAAUUUACUCCAAGAUGGAAUGAAACUUUUCAUCCUGAUUAGGGAAUAAAUAUUAAAUAUAGAUAAUCUUGGAUUCAUGUUAUGAUGUGAACCUGUAUGUCUCUCUUUCACUGACAAAAUAUACAGAAACACUUUAUGGGACAUUAAUUCUUAAAAACCAUGUCAAAAUAUAGGUCCAUGGUGGAAUCAUUCUAAGGUGGCUCUCCAGUGCAUCCUGCAAGGGUAGGGUAGGGAGGAGGCCCCCCAGCCUCUGUGUCCUAGCCUGGUAGCAGCUGUCGUCUGGGCAGCAAGGAUGACUCACAGGGCUGAGAUCCCACCAGGCUCUUGCACCGGGGAGAGCCUUGGAGAGCUGAGUCAUGAGCCAGGAUAAUAAGCCAGAAUUCACUUCCAAAUCUGACUCAGAGCACAGGAGCUACCGAGACCAAAACAUGUGGCCACUUGGGUGUAGCAUUUGGUGCCCCUUCAAAUCAAUGUUCUUUAAUACAUGGUAAGAGACAGGACAUUCUCUUCUAUUGCUCAGAGCAAUUUAGCUCUGGUAACACGCUUAAAACCUCACCCAGCAAAACUGAAGCUUUCCAACUAUAUUCCCAUCCUCCUGAGAAGGUACUUUAGGAAUAAGGGCCAUAUAUUGUUACUAAAACAUGACUCUACUGUGACCAAGGCAUACCCCUCUUAUUUCCUCUUUUACAUAGACUUUAAACUGUAGACUAUAAAGAAUAGACUUCACUUUUAGAGCUGUUUAGGUUUAUAGAAAUAUUGAGCAGAAUGUAUAGAGUAAUAUACCCCCUCGCCUACUCCAGUAUAGUUUCCCUUAUUAGUAUCUUGCACUAGUCUGGUACAUUUGUUACAAAUGAUGAAUCAAUAUUGAUACAUAAUUAACUAAAGGCCAUAGUUUAAAUUAGAAUCAACUCUUUGUUGCACAACUCUAUAGGUUUUGAAAAAUGCUUAAUGUCAUACAUUCAUCAUUAUAGUAUCAUACAAAAUAAUUUCACUGUCCUAAAAACCUAGCAUGCUUUACCUGUUCAUUUCUCCAUUUUCCUUUUGAUGUAGUUUAUCAAAGUAUUCCUUACAAACGUUAUCCCUCUCAUCACAUUUUCAGUGAUGUUUCAUUACCGGGGAGGUAUUUUAGUAUCCCUUACAGAGAAACAACUAUCCAGCUGGUCCAAUAGUAAUCAGAUUCUCACUCUAUGGAUGGAAAAAUUGCCAGCUUCCCUUUCAAUCUUACUGAAAUAGAAUUUCAAAAAUUAUGUCUAACAAGUGAGAAGGUGAUAGGUGAUUGCCAUGGUGGGAAUAUGUCCCACAAAGUUCAUGUGUUGGAAGCUUAAUUCCCCAUGCAACAGUGUUGGGAGGCAGGGCCUAAUAAGAGGUAAUUGAUUAGGUCAUGAGGACUCUGCCCUCAUUAAUGGAUUAAUGUCAUUAUUGAGGGAGUGGAUUUGUUAUUACAAGAGUGGGUUGUUAUAAAAGUAAGUUUUGCCCCUUCUUGCUCUCUCUUACUCUCAUACUGUCUUGCCCUUCCACCUUCUGCCUUGGAUGACACAGCAGGAAUGCCCUCACCAGGUGUUGUCACCAUGGUCUUGAAAUUCAAGAUUCCAAGAUUCCAAGAUUUUGGAUUCUCUAGAAUCAUAAGACAAAUAAAGUUACAUUGCUUACAAAUUACCCAGUCUCAAGUAUUCUGUUACAUAGAGUACUCAAGAAUUUUCUUAAACACAAAAUGGACUAAAUAUGACUAGUGUUUAUACUCAAGUUUGAAGAACAGCAAGAAAGAUGAGCUCUCUACUUACAGGUAAAUUGUCUUGUGAUUAUUUCCACAGAACUCUGACUUGGAUAAGACUUGUAUCCAUUUUAUUACGAUGUUCUUCUUUUUUACAAUUUAGUUCCCCAGAGGGCAAGACCAAGGUCAGUUUAAUCUGAAGUCUUUCGUACUUGAUAAAAAUGUCACUGUAAUGAAAACUUGACCGCAAUUAUAAAGAUGACAUCAUUAUGAUGAUGAUUAUGAUAAUAAUGAUGACGAUGAUGAUGACUUUGCCAUUGCUUUGCAGAAAAGGCUACCUAAGAUCGGAACCCUCUGAUAAUUUGUGCUGCUAUUUUAAGAUCCAGUUCCAUUCUACAACUGGCUGAAGCAUGAAGUCAACUAAAAUAAACUGAAUUGAGUGGAACUGAACUGAACUGAAGUGAAAUAAUGUGAUUUCCAGUAAACCUGACACCUUAAGGACAGAACAUGAGCCUUGCCCAUCUUCCUCCCAGAGGUCCCAGCACAAUCACCGACUCACACAAUACUCUCAGUGCAUGAGUGAUGAAUUUCACUAACAGCGACCCAUCUCUCUACAUAAUCCACUCCGGUUUCACCAGAGCUGAGAGUAUCAUGAAUUACAUCUAUAGAUAGCUGUAAGCUAAUGACCAAAGCACAUAACUGAAUUCAAACAUAUUCUUUAUUGCAGUCAGAUGUGAGAAAACAAAAUUUAGAAGACAAGCCAGAAAGGAAAUGAAGAACAUAAAGAGCCUGAAUUCUCAUCGUCAAUUUUUCCCUGACUGACUCCGUUUUCCUCUCUUCUUUCCAUUUACCUUUCUGUUCCCAUCCCCAUCAUUUUUGUAGUGUUUAUUGAGUGUCUGCUGCAUGCCAGUCAAUGUGCUGAGUACUUUUCAUGUGUUAUACCAUUUGAUCGUCACAGCAGCACACUAUUAUAAUUAUGAAUAUGAUUCCACAUACUAUAUCUAAAAUUUAACUUAAUUUUACAUAGGAGGAAGCUGAGACUUGCCCAAGACUACUCCAUUAGUAAGAUGUGAACCAAGUGAACCAUGUCUGACUCAAACCUAACCCCUGAUUCUCUGAAUCCAUAUCACCGUAGAACUCAACAGUGAAAUAUUGGGGUAGAGGUAAUGCUAUUAGUACACAAACUAUGCACAGAUUUACAAGCAACUAAACAGGAACUCAUGGCCAGGCACAAUGGUUCAUGCCUGUAAUUCCAGCACUUUGGGAGG